UACCUCUCUAUCGGAUACAUCCAUCGAUAUUGUACCGGUCCAGCUAUUUUCACUUCGGUUGCUAGAUGGACCGUCAGAUGAACCAUUACAGUAAAGAAACCGGGAGGAAAGAUUUUCUCAAGAUUGCAUAAUGUAUAUAUGAUUCUUUUCUCCCAUCGUUCCAUAAGUUUGAUUUCGAUUACUUUCGAACAAAUAUCGUGGAAAUAUCCGCAAAGUUCAACGAGAACCGAAGUCACUACAGGUUUUGUCGAUUUUCUUAAUGCAAUAGGAAGUAACUGUUGCAUUAUAACGUGACAAUCGUGACUUUUCAAUCCGAUAAAUUUUCUUUCUUUCAUUUUCACGUUUCUAGAAAUGUUUGAACAAUAUCC
rnacentral:lncRNA from 1 species